CAGAUCGAAUGCGGGUCGGCAUGCUUAACACAUGCAAGUCGAACGCUUGUUCGUGCCUCGCUCCGGAGGGGAUGUCGCGCACGGGUAGAGUAGUGCGUGGGAACCUGCCUGGUAGUGGGGGAUAAUCUCGGGAAAGUGUGGCUAAUACCGCAUAUGCCCGGACGAGUGAUCUUCCGGGGAAAGAUUUAUCGCUCGAGGAGGGGCCCGCGUCGGAUCAGAUGGUAGUUGGGGUAACGUCCUACCACGGUGAGGAUCUGUAGUUGGUAUGAGAGGAUGAUCAGCCACACUGGGAUUGAGUCACGGGCCAGAGUCCUACGGGAGGCUGCA
rnacentral:rRNA from 1 species